rnacentral:rRNA from 1 species
CCUACGGGUGGCAGCAGUAGGGAAUCUUCCACAAUGGACGAAAGUCUGAUGGAGCAACGCCGCGUGAAGGAAGAAGGCUUUCGGGUUGUAAACUUCUUUUCUCAGGGACGAAGCAAGUGACGGUACCUGAGGAAUAAGCCACGGCUAACUACGGGCCAGCAGCCGCGGUAAUACGUAGGUGGCAAGCGUUAUCCGGAUUUACUGGGUGUAAAGGGCGUGUAGGCGGGACUGCAAGUCAGAUGUGAAAACCACGGGCUCAACCUGUGGCCUGCAUUUGAAACUGUAGUUCUUGAGUACUGGAGAGGCAGACGGAAUUCCUAGUGUAGCGGUGAAAUGCGUAGAUAUUAGGAGGAACACCAGUGGCGAAGGCGGUCUGCUGGACAGCAACUGACGCUGAGGCGCGAAAGCGUGGGGAGCAAACAGGAUUAGAUACCCCUGUAGUC